CCUACGGGCGGCAGCAGUGAGGAAUAUUGGUCAAUGGCCGAGAGGCUGAACCAGCCAAGUCGCGUGAGGGAUGACGGCCCUACGGGUUGUAAACCUCUUUUGUCGGGGAGCAAAGAGCGGGACGCGUCCCUCCUCGAGAGUACCCGGAGAAAAAGCAUCGGCUAACUCCGUGCCAGCAGCCGCGGUAAUACGGAGGAUGCGAGCGUUAUCCGGAUUUAUUGGGUUUAAAGGGUGCGCAGGCGGAAUGGAAAGUCAGCGGUAAAAUUGCGGGGGUCACCCUCUUACUGCAGUUGAAACUGCGUUUCUUGAGUGGGCGAGAAGUACGCGGAAUGCGUGGUGUAGCGGUGAAAUGCAUAGAUAUCACGCAGAACUCCGAUUGCGAAGGCAGCGUACCGGCGCGCAACUGACGCUCAUGCACGAAAGCGUGGGUAUCGAACAGGAUUAGAUACCCGAGUAGUC
rnacentral:rRNA from 1 species